AGAGUGAUUUUUCAUGCUUCAUAAAUUAUGUAAUUUGCACUUUUGAAAUCAUUGAUUUAUAUUAAAAAUCUACUUAUCAAAUUCUUAUUGAGUCUUUAGUUUAAUUAUUUCACUCUUGCAAAGUAUUUUUACUAAAGGAUAUUUAUCUUUUAUGACUUGAUUUGGUAUAUAAUUUACGUAUUGAGUAAUGUUACUCAUACAUAUUCAUGGGGGUUGAAAUUGAACUCUUGUUUUGAUUGGUUCUUAGUUAUUGGCGGUUAAAUUGAGUUUUCCUUUGUGUACCUUGGGUAGAAUUCACCUGGACACUGGUCAGUGAAAGACGUCCAUUAUUUACUCAGACUUUUAUAGCAGAAACCCAUAUUUACAGAUUGUGUAUUUAUUAUAUUCAGCUUGACAGUUUUCUAGACAUGACUAGACUCUGAUGUAGACUACUUCUUUGUACUUUGUGCCAAGUUCCUUAUUUACUAGAGAACUCACUCCACAAGUGAGUUUUUAUUCUCUGGUAAUAAAACCAUCCGAACCUUAGAAAGUCUUUCGUUUAUUUCAUUAUACCGGAAGAGACCCCUUUCACAUUUGGCACC